rnacentral:rRNA from 1 species
GGCUUUCGGGUCGUAAAACUCUGUUGUUAGGGAAGAACAAGUGCUAGUUGAAUAAGCUGGCACCUUGACGGUACCUAACCAGAAAGCCACGGCUAACUACGUGCCAGCAGCCGCGGUAAUACGUAGGUGGCAAGCGUUAUCCGGAAUUAUUGGGCGUAAAGCGCGCGCAGGUGGUUUCUUAAGUCUGAUGUGAAAGCCCACGGCUCAACCGUGGAGGGUCAUUGGAAACUGGGAGACUUGAGUGCAGAAGAGGAAAGUGGAAUUCCAUGUGUAGCGGUGAAAUGCGUAGAGAUAUGGAGGAACACCAGUGGCGAAGGCGACUUUCUGGUCUGUAACUGACACUGAGGCGCGAAAGCGUGGGGAGCAAACAGGAUUAGAUACCCUGGUAGUCCACGCCGUAAACGAUGAGUGCUAAGUGUUAGAGGGUUUCCGCCCUUUAGUGCUGAAGUUAACGCAUUAAGCACUCCGCCUGGGGAGUACGGCCGCAAGGCUGAAACUCAAAGGAAUUGACGGGGGCCCGCACAAGCGGUGGAGCA